AUUGAGCGCUGGCGGCAGGCCUAACACAUGCAAGUCGAGCGGAUGAGUGGAGCUUGCUCCAUGAUUCAGCGGCGGACGGGUGAGUAAUGCCUAGGAAUCUGCCUGGUAGUGGGGGACAACGUCUCGAAAGGAACGCUAAUACAGCAUACGUCCUACGGGAGAAAGCAGGGGACCUUCGGGCCUUGCGCUAUCAGAUGAGCCUAGGUCGGAUUAGCUAGUAGGUGGGGUAAAGGCUCACCUAGGCGACGAUCCGUAACUGGUCCGAGAGGAUGAUCAGUCACACUGGAACGGAGACACAGUCCAGACUCCUACGGGAGGCAGCAGUGGGGAAUAGUGGACAAUGGGCGAAAGCCUGAUCCAGCCAUGCCGCGUGUGUGAAGAAGGUCUUCGGAUUGUAAAGCACUUUAAGUUGGGAGGAAGGGCGCUCGGUGAAUACCCAGGCGUCUUGACGUUACCGACAGAAUAAGCACCGGCUAACUUCGUGCCAGCCGCCGCCGUAACAC
rnacentral:rRNA from 1 species